AAAAAUAAAUAAAUAAAUAAAUAAAAAUAAAAGAAUUUUUUUUUUUUUUUAUCGUUGUUGUUUGUUUCUUUAAAUUGUGCUAUAAAUCACAUUAACAGCAAAUACAUAUGUAAUUAUGCGUAUUUAUAAAAAUAUAUAGAAAAACCAAAAAACAAAAAAUUGGUUUUCUUUUACUUUUCUUUUACAAAAUUUUGCUGUGCACUCAUCUUCGCCAAUAAAUUCUAUUUAUUGUUUCCACCGAACGCAAUGUUCAAAAGCGAUGUUCUCGGAUCGCGUAUCGACCAUAACUAAAGUUCUGAACAGCAUUGAUCAUCAAGAAUGCCACCAGCAGAGAUCGCACCAAACCAGCAGCAUUUGCUGGCCAUAAACGAGAAAAUAUCGACACUGUGUAUAUGGGAGAGGAUAAAUUUUGAGAUAAACUUUAUAUAACACGGUUAUGUUCGCCUACUAACGGCUCGAAUACAUGAUUAAUUCGAGAUAAUGUUUAUCACAACCUCUGUUCGUAAUGAUCACAGCAGAAAUAUUUGGAUCCAAACUGAGAUCGCUGUGUCCUGUAGGUGCAAAGUUUUUCUGGACAAUAUCAAGAUAACGUUAAAAGCGUCCAGAAAAUAUGAAACGGUCUUAUGAAAUCAUCCCAA